rnacentral:rRNA from 1 species
ACUCAAAGGAAUAGACGGGGACCCGCACAAGCGGUGGAUGAUGUGGAUUAAUUCGAUGCAACGCGAAAAACCUUACCUACCCUUGACAUGCCAGGAAUCCCGCAGAGACGCGGGAGUGCUCGAAAGAGAGCCUGGGCACAGGUGCUGCAUGGCUGUCGUCAGCUCGUGUCGUGAGAUGUUGGGUUAAGUCCCGCAACGAGCGCAACCCUUAUCAUUAGUUGCUACGCAAGGGCACUCUAGUGAGACUGCCGGUGACAAACCGGAGGAAGGUGGGGAUGACGUCAAGUCCUCAUGGCCCUUAUGGGUAGGGCUUCACACGUCAUACAAUGGUCGGUACAGAGGGAUGCCAACUCGCGAGAGGGAGCCGACCCCAGAAAACCGAUCGUAGUCCGGAUUGCAGUCUGCAACUCGACUGCAUGAAGUCGGAAUCGCUAGUAAUCGCGGAUCAGCAUGUCGCGGUGAAUACGUUCCCGGGUCUUGCACACACCGCCCGU